AGAGUUUGAUCAUGGCUCAGAACGAACGCUGGCGGCAGGCCUAACACAUGCAAGUCGAACGCACCGCAAGGUGAGUGGCGCACGGGUGAGUAACACGUGGGAAUGUACCCUUUGGUUCGGAAUAACGUUUGGAAACGAACGCUAAUACCGGAUGAGCCCUGUGGGGGAAAGAUUUAUCGCCAAAGGAGCAGCCCGCGUCUGAUUAGCUAGUUGGUGAGGUAAUGGCUCACCAAGGCGACGAUCGUUAGCUGGUCUGAGAGGACGAUCAGCCACACUGGGACUGAGACACGGCCCAGACUCCUACGGGAGGCAGCAGUGGGGAAUAUUGGACAAUGGGGGCAACCCUGAUCCAGCCAUGCCGCGUGAGUGAUGAAGGCCUUCGGGUUGUAAAGCUCUUUUGGCGGGGACGAUGAUGACGGUACCCGCAGAAUAAGCCCCGGCUAACUUCGUG
rnacentral:rRNA from 1 species